CUACGUAGGGGGCGAGCGUUAUCCGGAAUUAUUGGGCGUAAAGAGUACGUAGGUGGUUUCCUAAGCGAGGGGUUUAAGGCAAUGGCUUAACCAUUGUUCGCCCCCCGAACUGGGUUACUUGAGUGCUGGAGGGGAAAGCGGAAUUCCUAGUGUAGCGGUGAAAUGCGUAGAUAUUAGGAGGAACACCAGUGGCGAAGGCGGCUUCCUGGACAGUAACUGACACUGAGGUACGAAAGUGUGGGGAGCAAACAGGAUUAGAUACCCUGGUAGUCCACACCGUAAACGAUGAGCACUAGGUGUUGGGCUCGCAAGAGUUCGGUGCCGCAGUUAACGCAUUAAGUGCUCCGCCUGGGGAGUACGUACGCAAGUAUGAAACUUAAAGGAAUUGACGGGG
rnacentral:rRNA from 1 species